GACGAACGCUGGCGGCGUGCUUAACACAUGCAAGUCGAACGGAAAGGCCCCUUUGGGGGUACUCGAGUGGCGAACGGGUGAGUAACACGUGAGUAACCUGCCCUUGACUUCGGGAUAACUUCAGGAAACUGGGGCUAAUACCGGAUAGGAAUCCUUGCUGCAUGGUGGGGGUUGGAAAGCUUCGGCGGUUUUGGAUGGACUCGCGGCUUAUCAGCUUGUUGGUGGGGUAGUGGCUUACCAAGGCUUUGACGGGUAGCCGGCCUGAGAGGGCGACCGGCCACAUUGGGACUGAGAAUAGGCCCAGACUCCUACGGGAGGCAGCAGUGGGGAAUAUUGCACAAUGGGCGGAAGCCUGAUGCAGCAACGCCGCGUGCGGGAUGACGGCCUUCGGGUUGUAAACCGCUUUCAGCAGGGGCGAAGCUUGUGGUGACGGUACCUGCAGAAGAAGCACCGGCUAACUACGUG
rnacentral:rRNA from 1 species